UACGGGGGGGGCAAGCGUUGUUCGGAAUUACUGGGCGUAAAGGGCUCGUAGGCGGCAACUAAGUCAGACGUGAAAUCCCUCGGCUUAACCGGGGAACUGCGUCUGAUACUGGAUGGCUUGAGUUUGGGAGAGGGAUGCGGAAUUCCAGGUGUAGCGGUGAAAUGCGUAGAUAUCUGGAGGAACACCGGUGGCGAAGGCGGCAUCCUGGACCAACACGUGACGCUGAGGCGCGAA
rnacentral:rRNA from 1 species